rnacentral:piRNA from 1 species
UGCAGUACUGUAAGGAAGAGGGA